rnacentral:rRNA from 1 species
GACGAACGCUGGCGGCGUGCCUAAUACAUGCAAGUUGAGCGCCGAAGGUUGGUACUUGUAUUUACUGGAUGAGCAGCGAACGGGUGAGUAACGCGUGGGGAAUCUGCCUUUGAGCGGGGGACAACAUCUGGAAACGAAUGCUAAUACCGCAUAAAAACUUUAAACACAAGUUUUAAGUUUGAAAGAUGCAAUUGCAUCACUCAAAGAUGAUCCCGCGUUGUAUUAGCUAGUUGGUGAGGUAAAGGCUCACCAAGGCGAUGAUACAUAGCCGACCUGGGAGGGUGAUCGGCCACAUUGGGAAUGAGACACGGCCCAAGCUCCUACGGGAGGGAGCAGUAGGGAAUCUUCGGCAAAGGGCGAAAGUCUGACCGAGCAAAGCCGCGGGAGUGAAGAAGGGUUUCGGAUCGUAAAACUCUGUUGGUAGGGAAGGACGUUGGUGAGGGUGAAAAGCUCAUCAAGUGACGGUAACUACACAGAAAGGAACGGCUAACUACGUG